GUUAAAAUGUGGGUAAAGAGCCUGAAAAAACUCAGAAAGUGAGUGUUGUCAUCAGCUUCUUCCUUAGACUUACGGGACUGGAGUUAAAUAACAGCACUACAUUU